UUAAUAUAUCAAUAUCAUUUGUAAUAGUUUAGCCAAUAUUACAAUUGAAAGUAUAUAUAUAUAUAUAUAUAUAUAUAUUUUUUUUUUUUUUUUUUUUCCCAGUAAAAGUCCCUUUAAGGUGUGUGCAGUUGGACGGUUUAGACCCUGUGCUGUAGCUACAUAUUAAAGUAAGUAAUAGAGAAAAACUCAUAUUAUUAUCAGAUUAUGAGGUUUAAUCAUAUUCGCGUAUAUUUAUUAGCAGUAUUACAUUAUUUUACAUGUUAUUUUUUAUAUUUUUACCUCAGAUAUUGGGUAUUUUAGAGUGUGUGAAAUGUUAGCCGAUAUGCUAACGCUGCGGGAGUGGCCUGUCAGAAAACGGGCGGGAAAAUAAAUCAGGCUUUUUUUCUCAGACUGGGGCUGCGUCCCCUCAGCUCGCCUCUGUACCCCGCUGAACUCAGCCAAACUUCACUAAACCUCACCAAACCGCGCUUUAAACACGUAAUUAACCUGCAGGGUUUCACCGGAGGAGCUGGAGAAACUCUGAGAGGAUCAUCCAGCAGAAUCACCGCGGGGAAAUCUCACUCUGUAGCCCGCGGGAGGAGCGGUGUGGAGAGCCGAGGAGCGGUGCUGAUCCUGAAAGACAAGCAACCAAAAGUGAGGCCUCUGGAAAAACCACAGCUACUGUACUGCACAACUCCAGGACUCCACAGCUUUUACUGUGCCGAGCGCAGGGACGGGGCUUUACAGGCCGGUCCAGCAGUGUGGUCUCCUCGGCCCGGCGGUCAUGUUCGGCACACGGAAGACCUGGGACCUCAGCCACACCCCCUGCCUGCAGGAGCUCUGGAACAAAGACCUCUCAUUGGAUGCAAGUUCAGUGGAUUUCCUGAUGAGCGAUGGUGAGGAGGAAAGCUCUUUCUUGACGUUGCCGAACACAGUCCUCCAGCGCCACUGCCUGACCUCUGACCUCCCAGAUCCUCAUUUAUCAGACCAGCAGCAGCUGCUCAUACAGGUACAACCUCUUUACAACUUGUUUUACUUAAUUCUUUAAUUGUAAAGAUAUUAUUUUCUUUUACC
rnacentral:lncRNA from 1 species